GGCACUCCAGAUGUUUUGGACUACACCUCCCAUGAUGCUUUGCCAGCAUUAUGGGGGAUGUAGUCCACAACAUCUGGAGUGCC